rnacentral:rRNA from 1 species
GCGGGGAAGGUCGCCUUCGGGCUUCCAAACUUGUCGAUUCCACGCUGUCGAGAAAAUCCUCUAAGGAGCGUCUCAGGUGACCGUACCGCAAACCGACACAGGUAGAUAAGAAGAGUAUUCUAAGGCGCACGAUUGAGCCCUCUUUUAGGAGCUAGGCAAGUUAGCCCCGUAACUUCGGGAAAAGGGGCGCCUUAUUAGGGUGAAGCCGUACAGGCGGAGCCCGAGGAGGCCGCAGAGAAAUGGCUCUAGCGACUGUUUAAUAAAAACACAGGACUCUGCAAAGACAUAAAAUCGAUGUAUAGGGUCUGACGCCUGCCCGGUGCUGGAAGGUUAAGGGAAGGGGUUAGCCGUAAGGCGAAGCUCUGAACCGAAGCCCCAGUAAACGGCGGCCGUAACAAUAACGGUCCUAAGGUAGCGAAAUUCCUUGUCGGGUAAGUUCCGACCCGCACGAAAGGCGUAACGACUUGAGCGCUGUCUCAAAGAGGGGCUCGGCGGAAUUGUGGUACCGGUGAAGACGCCGGUUACCUGCCGCUGGACGGAAAGACCCCGGCACCUUAACUGCAUCCUAGCAUUGGAUUUCGGUCCAUGAUGCGCAGGAUAGGUGGGAGGCUAUGAAGCAUCGGCUCCGGCCGGUGUGGAGCCAACGGUGAGAUACCACUCUUCCUGGUCUGAGAUUCUAACCUCCGCCCCUGAUCGGGGCGAGGAACAGUGUUAGGUGGGUAGUUUGACUGGGGCGGUCGCCUCCUAAAAUGUAACGGAGGCGCCCAAAGGUUCCCUCAGGUUGUUUGGAAAUCAACCGCGGAGUGCAAAGGCAUAAGGGAGCUUGACUGUGAGGCCGACGGGCCGAACAGGUGGGAAACCAGGGCUUAGUGAUCCGGUGAUCCUGUAUGGAAGGGUCAUCGCUCAACGGAUAAAAGGUACGCCGGGGAUAACAGGCUAAUAGUGUCCAAGAGCUCACAUCGACGACACUGUUUGGCACCUCGAUGUCGGCUCAUCUCAUCCUGGGGCUGAAGCAGGUCCCAAGGGUCCGGCUGUUCGCCGGUUAAAGAGGUACGUGAGCUGGGUUUAGAACGUCGCGAGACAGUUCGGUCCCUAUCCACGGUAGGCGUAGGAGAUUUGAGGGGGGCUGCCCAUAGUACGAAAGGACCUGGGUGGACGAACCUCUAGUGUACCAGUUGUCCCGCCAGGGGCAGCGCUGGGUAGCUACGUUCGGUUGUGAUAACCGCUGAAAGCAUAUAAGCAGGAAGCACGCCCCAAGAUAAGAUCUCCCUCCCGCAAGGGCUGAAGGUCCCUGGUAGACGACCAGGUUGAUAGGCUGGAGGUGUAAGCGCAGAGAUGCGUUCAGCUGACCAGUACUAAUAGACCGUGAGGCUUGACCAU